rnacentral:rRNA from 1 species
GAUGAACGCUGGCGGCGUGCUUAACACAUGCAAGUCGAACGAGAAGUGAAGACGGAAACCUUCGGGCGGAAGGCUUUAUUUCGAGUGGCGGACGGGUGAGUAACGCGUGGGUAACCUGCCUCAUACAGGGGGAUAACAGUUGGAAACGACUGUUAAUACCGCAUAAGACCACAGCACCGCAUGGUGCGGGGGUAAAAACUCCGGUGGUAUGAGAUGGACCCGCGUUCGAUUAGCCAGUUGGCGGGGUAACGGCCCACCAAAGCGACGAUCGAUAGCCGAUCUGAGAGGAUGACCGGCCACAUUGGGACUGAGACACGGCCCAAACUCCUACGGGAGGCAGCAGUGGGGAAUAUUGCACAAUGGGGGAAACCCUGAUGCAGCGACGCCGCGUGAGUGGAGAAGUAUUUCGGUAUGUAAAGCUCUAUCAGCAGGGAAGAAAAUGACGGUACCUGAGUAAGAAGCCCCGGCUAACUACGUG